rnacentral:rRNA from 1 species
UACGUAGGGGGCAAGCGUUGUCCGGAUUUAUUGGGCGUAAAGAGCGUGUAGGCGGCCAGACAGGUCAGCUGUGAAAACUCGAGGCUCAACCUCGAGACGUCGGUUGAAACCGUCUGGCUAGAGUCCGGAAGAAGAGAGUGGAAUUCCCGGUGUAGCGGUGAAAUGCGCAGAUAUCGGGAAGAACACCCGUGGCGAAGGCGGCUCUCUGGGACGGUACUGACGCUGAGACGCGAAAAGCGUGGGGAGCGAACAGG